rnacentral:rRNA from 1 species
GACGAACGCUGGCGGCGUGCUUAACACAUGCAAGUCGAGCGGUAAGGCCCUUCGGGGUACACGAGCGGCAAACGGGUGAGUAACACGUGAGUAAUCUGCCCAUCACUUCGGGAUAACUCCGGGAAACCGGUGCUAAUACCGAAUAUGACCACUUCAGGCAUCUGAUGGUGGUGGAAAGUUCCGGCGGUGAUGGAUGAGCUCGCGGCCUAUCAGCUUGUUGGUGGGGUAGUGGCCUACCAAGGCUUCGACGGGUAGCCGGCCUGAGAGGGUGACCGGCCACACUGGGACUGAGACACGGCCCAGACUCCUACGGGAGGCAGCAGUGGGGAAUAUUGGACAAUGGGCGAAAGCCUGAUCCAGCAACGCCGCGUGAGGGAUGACGGCCUUCGGGUUGUAAACCUCUUUCAGCAGGGACGAAGCGCAAGUGACGGUACCUGCAGAAGAAGCACCGGCCAACUACGUG